GGACAGGUGACCGAGUGGCCGAAGGUGCACGAUUGGAAAUCGUGUGCACUGAAAGGUGCCGAGGGUUCGAAUCCCUCCCUGUCCGCCA
rnacentral:tRNA from 2 species